UACGUAGGUGGCAAGCGUUGUCCGGAUUUACUGGGCGUAAAGGGCGCGUAGGCGGUCCGCUAAGUUAGAUGUGAAAACUCUGGGCUCAACCCAGAGCCUGCAUCUAAUACUGACGGGCUAGAGUUCUGGAGGGGGUAGCGGAAUUCCUGGUGUAGCGGUGAAAUGCGUAGAUAUCAGGAGGAACACCGGUGGCGAAGGCGGCUACCUGGACAGAAACUGACGCUGAGGCGCGAAAGCUAGGGGAGCAAACAGG
rnacentral:rRNA from 1 species